UCUCUAUCAUUACCAAAUGUGUGAGCUCUUCAAGGAACUUUUUUGUGAGUACAGCUUUUAUUUUGGUUAGAUUUAGAUCUAUAGAAAUCUCUAAUGCUAUGUGAUAUAUUAGAGAAAUGAUUCUCGUACACAAAACUUACAACAACGAUACAACAGGCUUACGUGGAAAGUGAUUUUUUAUUAUUUUUGUUUUUUCUUUUCUUUUCUUUUGGGUUUGAAAACUGGUUGGAGGGGAUUGAAAUUUUCAUUUCCCCUCCAACGCAGCUCUCUCUCUCUCUCUCUCUCUCUCUCUCUCUCUCUCUCUCUCUCUCUCUCUCUCUCUCUCUCUCUCUCUCUCUCUCUCUCUCUCUCCAACUACCGUUGCUGCCGCUGGUCUUCCCCUUCCCGGCGCCGCUUCACUGGCGGUCGGUCUCCUCCGUCCGAAACCGCCGCUGGUCUCCCGCUCGCUCGCUCACUCACCGGUCGUGACCGACCCUCUCGGCGGUCGGCUUCUAUCUUGGUGGUCGGCCACCCUCCACCGGGCCAUCCUUCACCGGCGUUCUGUUUCCGGCGGAUUUGGCGGCCGGAUCUGUAUCCGUCGACGCUAAAAAAGGCUGCUGUUGAGGAAGGUAUUGUAGUUGGUGGUGGAUGCACCUUGCCGAAGGUGCUGCAUCAAGAUCCUGUCCCUUCAAGAAGUCCAGCAAAUGAGCUUAGAUGGAGACUUCGGAAGUGCUGUCCUUCCAAAUCAAGUCUGCAGCAGCUCUGAUGGCGGAAUUGUUUAAUGUAGUCUUAGCUAAUGACAAGGAUUCUUCUUCCAAAUUGGGAGCUUAUACUGUUUAUAACAAUCUGUUCAUAGCUUUCCAUAUGGCAUGUAUUAGUUAAGCCACAACUGGCAUGUAUUAUUUUGCCUUCUGUAUUUUAGUGUUUGAAACUGUCCCACUCAAAUGCUAUUUAGAAAGCAAGGAAAAGCAUGAAAUUGUAAGGCCUUGUUUCGAGUGUGUAAAUUUGAAAAUUUCAGUACAGUAGUUACUAUGUGAUUGUGCA